rnacentral:lncRNA from 1 species
UCCUUGAUAGGUUGCAUGUUCUAUUACAAAAAUAGCAUGUCUUACAAAAUUCAUGGGCAUCUUUGAACAAAUUCAGCCAAUAGAACUCAAAUUGGAGUACCUUUGUUGCGGUUCUUACUCCUCCAAAAUGACCUCCAUACGGGACUGAAUGACAAUGUUGUAAUAGACUGUUCAUCUCUUCAUCACAAAUAAUCUUCGAAUUAUUUGAUCAGCAC